GUUUCAAAUGGUGGUGAUGACCAAAAAAUGACCUAUUCGUGCGCUUGAACCCAUAAAAAUGAACUUUAAAAUCUCACUUGUUUGUAUUUCACUGCUGAUCAUCGCAAAAUAUGCUAACGCAAGUGGAUCCAGUAAAGAUGGAGACCUACUUUCUCCGAUAAAUAUCGAUACAUCUCGAGUUACUCCAAGUUUUGAUCUACUGAAAAUAUCAUUAGACGUACCCAGAACUCUAUCUUCCGAUGGCAUAGCAAUAAAUACAGGAAAAGAAAGUGAUUCACAAAACAUAUCGUAUCACGUCGUCUGUCAAAGAGUGCUCAAAAUCACUAUACCAAACUUGUUCUACUUUUUCAGUCAGAUUUCCUCUGACAAAAAAACAAGAAAUGGGCUCACAACAAAUAACACUUGACAAUAUUACAUAUACACUAGCUGACCGACAUAUACUAAUAAACCAAAAUGGAUCGCAGAAAAAUCGUAGCGGACACACCAUCAAUGGCAAAGGAUAUCCCAUCGAAGCAACCAAUAUAUUCGCCAACAUUGAUGAAUACAAGAGUUUGUAAGAAGCCAAGAAAGAGAAACACCCCAAUGGUAUAUUAGCUCUCUCGCAACCAGUCGAUGUAAUAGACAUUCCGAAUCCUACUUUCAUACCAUUUGGUAUAUUCUUGCGUUCAGGCAAUCUAAAAACACCCAACUCUGCUGCAACGAUUUCCACCCUAUUUUCAUUUAUUUGGUUCGACUCUCUUGUCAAGAACCGUGCGUAUUACAUUUAUACAGGAUCUUUAUACGAUCCGGAAACCAAAACGCAAAUACUUGAAGUGACGAACAUUGUACCUCAACCGCCUUAUAGCUCUAUUUCUUAUCAACAAUUCACAGCUUUUAGAAAUGUUUUGGAUACAGAUGACAAUCCAUUGAGUACCAUAGCUCCAUUAAAUCCUGUCAAAGGCAGAGAAAUCAAAGCAGUGAGAGGACUCUUCAUUGAACUACGUCCCGUUUACGUCACUCUUUUUGCUCCGUGAGCAAUCAGCAGCCGUAUUGAAAUUUGAGGGUAAUU